rnacentral:rRNA from 1 species
GAUGAACGCUGGCGGCGUGCCUAAUACAUGCAAGUCGAGCGAACGGACGAGAAGCUUGCUUCUCUGAUGUUAGCGGCGGACGGGUGAGUAACACGUGGAUAACCUACCUAUAAGACUGGGAUAACUUCGGGAAACCGGAGCUAAUACCGGAUGGUAUUUUGAACCGCAUGGUUCAAAAGUGAAAGACGGUCUUGCUGUCACUUAUAGAUGGAUCCGCGCUGCAUUAGCUAGUUGGUAAGGUAACGGCUUACCAAGGCAACGAUGCAUAGCCGACCUGAGAGGGUGAUCGGCCACACUGGAACUGAGACACGGUCCAGACUCCUACGGGAGGCAGCAGUAGGGAAUCUUCCGCAAUGGGCGAAAGCCUGACGGAGCAACGCCGCGUGAGUGAUGAAGGUCUUCGGAUCGUAAAACUCUGUUAUUAGGGAAGAACAUAUGUGUAAGUAACUGUGCACAUCUUGACGGUACCUAAUCAGAAAGCCACGGCUAACUACGUGCCAGCAGCCGCGGUAAUACGUAGGUGGCAAGCGUUAUCCGGAAUUAUUGGGCGUAAAGCGCGCGUAGGCGGUUUUUUAAGUCUGAUGUGAAAGCCCACGGCUCAACCGUGGAGGGUCAUUGGAAACUGGAAAACUUGAGUGCAGAAGAGGAAAGUGGAACUCCAUGUGUAGCGGUGAAAUGCGCAGAGAUAUGGAGGAACACCAGUGGCGAAGGCGACUUUCUGGUCUGUAACUGACGCUGAUGUGCGAAAGCGUGGGGAUCAAACAGGAUUAGAUACCCUGGUAGUCCACGCCGUAAACGAUGAGUGCUAAGUGUUAGGGGGUUUCCGCCCCUUAGUGCUGCAGCUAACGCAUUAAGCACUCCGCCUGGGGAGUACGACCGCAAGGUUGAAACUCAAAGGAAUUGGCGGGGACCCGCACAAGCGGUGGAGCAUGUGGUUUAAUUCGAAGCAACGCGAAGAACCUUACCAAAUCUUGACAUCCUUUGACAACUCUAGAGAUAGAGCCUUCCCCUUCGGGGGACAAAGUGACAGGUGGUGCAUGGCUGUCGUCAGCUCGUGUCGUGAGAUGUUGGGUUAAGUCCCGCAACGAGCGCAACCCUUAAGCUUAGUUGCCAUCAUUAAGUUGGGCACUCUAAGUUGACUGCCGGUGACAAACCGGAGGAAGGUGGGGAUGACGUCAAAUCAUCAUGCCCCUUAUGAUUUGGGCUACACACGUGCUACAAUGGACAAUACAAAGGGCAGCGAAACCGCGAGGUCAAGCAAAUCCCAUAAAGUUGUUCUCAGUUCGGAUUGUAGUCUGCAACUCGACUACAUGAAGCUGGAAUCGCUAGUAAUCGUAGAUCAGCAUGCUACGGUGAAUACGUUCCCGGGUCU